AAAUAGCAAAUAUUAUUCGUUUGAAAUAUUGUAUGAAUUACUUUUGGGGAUUUAAUAUUUUAGGAGUAAACAUAGGGGCGAUGUGAUAUUUUAAGUAAGAAUUAAAGUUACUUUUUGUUACAUAUGCAGUGAAUAAACUGAUGGGAUGUGAUAUUCUAGAUACCAAAUACUAAUCAUUUGAAAUAUUGUAUGAAUUGCUUAAGGGGAUGUAAUAUUUUGAAGGUAAACAUAGAGGGGAUGUGAUAUUUUAAAUAGCAAAUAUUAAUCGUUUGAAAUAUUGUAUGAAUUACUUUGGGGGAUGUAAAAUUUUAAAGGUAAACAUAGAGGGAAUGUGAUAUUUUAAGUAAGAAUUUUAGUUUCUUUUUGUGACAUAUGCAGAGACUCCACAGGGGGGAUGUGAUGUUUUAAAUACCAAAUAUGAAUUGCUUGAAAUUUUGUACAAAAAUACUUAAAGGGAUCUAAUAUUUUUAGAAGUAUACAUAGGGGGAUGUGAUAUUUUAAGUAAGAAUUUUAGUUUCUUUUUGUGGUACAAACAGAAUUUACAAGUAAUAGAUGUGAUAUUUAAGAUAGCAAUUACUACUCAUUUGAAAAAAUUUAUGAAUUACUUAGAAGAUGUAAUAUUUUAAAGAUUUACAUACAGGGAUGUGAUAUUUUAAGUUGGUUUUUUGCUUCUUUUCGUGAUAUAUAUAUAGAGCUUACAUAUGGGGGUUGUGUUACUCCAGAAACCAAAUACAAUUAUUAUGCAACAUGGUAGUAAUUAUGUUGGGGAAUAUUUCAGAAGCCUGCAUAGGGAGAUUUGGUAUUUUAAUUUAGAAUUUUAGCUGUUAUUUUCAAAAUGUGCAGAGAUUACUCAAAUAGUCUUUUUUCAUUUUUUUUUUUAGAUUUAAUUGAGAAAAUUAAAAAUAUACUAUUGUUUAAUCAAUUCAUAUGUAUGACUUUCGACAAGUUAAAGUAUUAUAAUAAUGCAAGAGUUCACUAAAACUAGGAAAACAAAAAUAUGUAACAAAUCACCUAUUUCUGUUUUUAUCUGUAAGGGCAUAAACAUUUAAAUUGGUUCAAUUUAUGACAAAAUGUUGAAGAAAAAGAAAUGACUGCAAUUUUUAAAGUUUCAUUUAUUAUUACAUUUAUAUAUAAAUAUGUUCAAAACAAAAUAAAGUUUCAUUUCUAAAAACAAUGCAUCUCUUAAGGUACCAUCGAUUUGGAUGCAAAUAUCACAUUUGAUCUAAAAAUAAAUAUUUAAUGUACAUUUUUCUAUUUGAAUAUAUAAAGUAUUUUUUCUAUGUGAAAUUUUAAAAAAUAAUUAAAAUAUAUUUUAUUACCCAUUUAACUUUUUUUUGAUUUUUUCUAGUUUUUGGACCAAUUUCACUUCCACAAAUGCGACAAACUAUUCUGCCAACUUUUCUGACCUAUUGAUUUAAUUUUGCAUCAUUUUUUUUUGUCUUUUUUAUAGAUAUCAUUUAAUAUCGAAGUAGUGUAAACAUUUUCAGUUCUCUAAAGAAUCUCACAACCUCCUUUAUCUCUCUUUCUGUAUGCAUUAACUUCUUCAUGUGGAAAGACACACACCAAUACUUCUUCAUUUGUAUAACUUUCAGAAAAUUAAAAUAUAAAGAGCUCUUUAAACAAGAUAUGCUAAUAUGCUGUAUGAUGGAAAAAUUCCUUUGGACGCUUGCAAUAAUCAAACCAGGUAAUAAAGUAAUUCACUCUAUGAACCCUAUGGGAGAACAAAUAAAUUCCAUCAAGAAGAAGUGAAAUGGAAUAGUUGUUACUUACAACAAAGAUAUGGUGUUUCAGAAAAGUUUGAAAUAUUAACAUUACGACAUGCCAUACAAGCUGAAGGUAUAACAAUUGGAGUAUUCUGCUAUAAGAUAAAUGUUUUUGAAUACCUAUGCCGUCUUCGUAUUAAAUCAGUUUUAUUUAGCAAUUCAUCCAGUGAGAGUAACCCAGCUGGCUACAGUACUUCGAUUCGAUUCUUCAAAACAUUAAUAAAUGGAAUGGCAUUCAAUAUAUU
rnacentral:lncRNA from 1 species